rnacentral:rRNA from 1 species
CUCCUGGAUUAGUGGCGAACGGGUGAGUAACACGUGAGUAACCUGCCCUUAACUCUGGGAUAAGCCUGGGAAACUGGGUCUAAUACCGGAUAUGACUCCUCAUCGCAUGGUGGGGGGUGGAAAGCUUUUUGUGGUUUUGGAUGGACUCGCGGCCUAUCAGCUUGUUGGUGAGGUAAUGGCUUACCAAGGCGACGACGGGUAGCCGGCCUGAGAGGGUGACCGGCCACACUGGGACUGAGACACGGCCCAGACUCCUACGGGAGGCAGCAGUGGGGAAUAUUGCACAAUGGGCGCAAGCCUGAUGCAGCGACGCCGCGUGAGGGAUGACGGCCUUCGGGUUGUAAACCUCUUUCAGUAGGGAAGAAGCGAAAGUGACGGUACCUGCAGAAGAAGCGCCGGCUAACUACGUGCCAGCAGCCGCGGUAAUACGUAGGGCGCAAGCGUUAUCCGGAAUUAUUGGGCGUAAAGAGCUCGUAGGCGGUUUGUCGCGUCUGCCGUGAAAGUCCGGGGCUCAACUCCGGAUCUGCGGUGGGUACGGGCAGACUAGAGUGAUGUAGGGGAGACUGGAAUUCCUGGUGUAGCGGUGAAAUGCGCAGAUAUCAGGAGGAACACCGAUGGCGAAGGCAGGUCUCUGGGCAUUA